CUGUAGUCGUACCGGUACCCGUAUGUCUUAACCGGUCCCGUAGAGUUUUAACUUGGCCUUGGUGGUUGAAUGGCGGACGCCUGAGUUUCACGUGAGUAACCUGCCCCUGAUUUCGGGAUAAGCCUGGGAAACUGGGUCUAAUACCGGAUACGACCUCCUGACGCAUGUUGGGUGGUGGAAAGUUUUUCGAUCGGGGAUGGGCUCGCGGCCUAUCAGCUUGUUGGUGGGGUAAUGGCCUACCAAGGCGACGACGGGUAGCCGGCCUGAGAGGGCGACCGGCCACACUGGGACUGAGACACGGCCCAGACUCCUACGGGAGGCAGCAGUGGGGAAUAUUGCACAAUGGGGGAAACCCUGAUGCAGCGACGCGGCGUGCGGGAUGACGGCCUUCGGGUUGUAAACCGCUUUCAGCAGGGAAGAAGCGAAAGUGACGGUACCUGCAGAAGAAGUACCGGCUAACUACGUGCCAGCAGCCGCGGUAAUACGUAGGGUACGAGCGUUGUCCGGAAUUAUUGGGC
rnacentral:rRNA from 1 species